rnacentral:rRNA from 1 species
AUUGAACGCUGGCGGCAGGCUUAACACAUGCAAGUCGAGCGGGGUGAUGGUGCUUGCACUAUCACUUAGCGGCGGACGGGUGAGUAAUGCUUAGGAAUCUGCCUAUUAGUGGGGACAACAUCUCGAAAGGGAUGCUAAUACCGCAUACGUCCUACGGGAGAAAGCAGGGGAUCACUUGUGACCUUGCGCUAAUAGAUGAGCCUAAGUCGGAUUAGCUAGUUGGUGGGGUAAAGGCCUACCGAGGCGACGAUCUGUAGCGGGUCUGAGAGGAUGAUCCGCCACACUGGGACUGAGACACGGCCCAGACUCCUACGGGAGGCAGCAGUGGGGAAUAUUGGACAAUGGGGGGAACCCUGAUCCAGCCAUGCCGCGUGUGUGAAGAAGGCCUUAUGGUUGUAAAGCACUUUAAGCGAGGAGGAGGCUCUUUUGGUUAAUACCCAAGAUGAGUGGACGUUACUCGCAGAAUAAGCACCGGCUAACUCUGUGCCAGCCGCCGCGGUAA